rnacentral:rRNA from 1 species
GAUGAACGCUGGCGGCGUGCUUAACACAUGCAAGUCGAACGGAAAGGCCCAAGCUUGCUUGGGUACUCGAGUGGCGAACGGGUGAGUAACACGUGGGUGAUCUGCCCUGCACUUCGGGAUAAGCCUGGGAAACUGGGUCUAAUACCGGAUAGGACCACAUUUUGGAUGGUGUGGUGGAAAGUUUUUCGGUGUGGGAUGAGCUCGCGGCCUAUCAGCUUGUUGGUGGGGUAAUGGCCUACCAAGGCGUCGACGGGUAGCCGGCCUGGGAGGGUGUACGGCCACAUUGGGACUGAGAUACGGCCCAGACUCCUACGGGAGGCAGCAGUGGGGAAUAUUGCACAAUGGGCGCAAGCCUGAUGCAGCGACGCCGCGUGGGGGAUGACGGCCUUCGGGUUGUAAACUCCUUUCGCUAGGGACGAAGCGCAAGUGGCGGUACCUGGAGAAGAAGCACCGGCUAACUACGUG